UCCCGCCUCGCGAAAAGUCGCCGAUUGUGGCGGCCUGUCCCCGGCCUUCGCCGGACGGACUAGCGAGGCGGGUUGUU
rnacentral:sRNA from 12 species